GAUGAACGCUGGCGGCGUGCCUAAUACAUGCAAGUCGAGCGAACAGACGAGGAGCUUGCUCCUCUGACGUUAGCGGCGGACGGGUGAGUAACACGUGGAUAACCUACCUAUAAGACUGGGAUAACUUCGGGAAACCGGAGCUAAUACCGGAUAAUAUAUUGAACCGCAUGGUUCAAUAGUGAAAGACGGUUUUGCUGUCACUUAUAGAUGGAUCCGCGCCGCAUUAGCUAGUUGGUAAGGUAACGGCUUACCAAGGCAACGAUGCGUAGCCGACCUGAGGGGGUGAUCGGCCACACUGGAACUGAGACACGGUCCAGACUCCUACGGGAGGCAGCAGUAGGGAAUCUUCCGCAAUGGGCGAAAGCCUGACGGAGCAACGCCGCGUGAGUGAUGAAGGUCUUCGGAUCGUAAAACUCUGUUAUUAGGGAAGAACAAAUGUGUAAGUAACUAUGCACGUCUCGACGGUACCUAAUCAGAAAGCCACGGCUAACUACGUG
rnacentral:rRNA from 1 species